rnacentral:lncRNA from 1 species
AGAGACUGCUGAAUCACUCUGGGCUAGAUAGAUGGUGCUGAAGACCUUUCCCAGCUGAGGCUCUUCGAAGCAGCUCCUCAGCAGAGAAGAGGAAGACAGGAAAGCAAAAGCGUGUCUACCCUGUUCUGUCCCAUGCUGCACUGUCAAGGACAAAGGUGUAAAAAGACAACACCUUCUGUGGACUAUGCAGUGUAUCAGGGAGGCACUGGGACAAAAUGAGAUCACAAGACCUGGAGAUCCAGAACCAAGAAACCCAAGAGCACCAAGGAAAAGGCAAGCUACUUGAGAGACAAGAAAAGAGUUACCCCUUAAGAAUCCUGUUCUGCAUUGGAAUGAGGAUAGAAAGUCUCUGGAGCUUAUAUGCUACCAUUUCCCCUUUGGGCAUCAACAUGGAGAUGGAGGAAGUGUGUGGCUUUUCCAGCCGAAGCACCCUGGAGGGUCAACUCAAAGCUGGACACCCCAUGGUUUCUCCUGGCCAUACCCAUCCGCAGCCUGCCAUGCAGGAGGCUGGGGCUGGGAUGGGGCAAAUUUUCUUACAGGACUGGUGACUGGGGGAUGGGGCAAUGCACAACUGACACAGGGAAAGGCUGAACAUAGGAGGAAUGGGAUUCCAUCAGAGCAAUUUGCCCAGCUUUUUUCUUUAUUUCCUUAUACAUUUUUAAAGCAUAUGUAUUGCUAGUAAAAGUGCUGGCUGGACAAAGCUCA